GGGGCUCCGGGGAAAUCGCGGGCAAAACGCCGGGAUUGGAGAGUGUGGAGUGUUCCAGAGGCCUGUGGUCGUGGCUGCCUUCUCAGGGCUGUCAUUUGCACGAGGUCAGGAUAAUUUGGGAAACCUUCCUGGUAUUUAAUUGAUGUGCUGACCUGUCUCAACGAGCCUAUUUCAGAUUGCAGGAAGAUGGAUUCUCCAGCCAGUUCCGCCACCACAGGCUGCGGAUCCCGAGCCCAUUGAACCCUCCAGGACCUGGACACUGGACCUGCCGUCCUGCCUUCUCCCUUAUCUCGGUGCUUGGCAGGUGCCAUGGAUUUCACACUUCCACUGACCUCUGAGCGCUGCCAAAGCCAGGGAGGCACAUCGGGCAGAUAACGUGUCCCCAGUGUCCCCAUUCCACCUCUGCCUUCCCGAGUCCCUUAGGCUCUGGGGAGAGUUACUUAAAAAUAUGCCAGAUUUAAGGUCUGUCUGAAGUCAAAU